rnacentral:lncRNA from 1 species
AGUGUCAGAGUGCAAACGGCCGUUAGAGCGCCUCUUUGUCUGUUGCAGGUGAGAGAUUUCUUGAUCAAGAAGGCACGUUCCUCAGGCAAGACUAAAGGGCGACAUCAGUUGUUAGAGUCAACCGGCGGAGCAAGUCAAUCGACAGGAACAUUUGGCGCCCACCGUGGGGCCCGUUAAAACAAGAUCCCACUCACAGUUACAUUAAGAGUCUUUACCAACAAUAUGAGGAGUACG